AAGCCACUGAGUUAAUGGUGAUUUCCUAUUUCUCUGAUGUUUGUCUUUCACCUUGCUCUCCCUCCUCUGCAGCUCAGACUCUCAGAACACAGAUAUAAGCCUUCUGUGAUGCCCCGUCCACAUCUACAGCACUGGAGUAUUCUACCCAGUUCAGGUCUCUGGAUCUACAUGGGCUGCCUAGUGCCAGACCCACACCUGUGCUGCACUGCGUGGGACACGCCCGUGAGUCAGGAAAACCUCAGGCCUGCACACAGGAUUUAAUUUGUUUCACCCAUCUCAGCCCUUCCCAAUCCAUCUCUGCAGUCCCUCCUGCUGGCCCAGGGCAGACAUGAACAAUCCAUCUCUGCUCUGUCCCUCACAGAGCGCAGGCCCUUGGAACAUUCUCUAAUCUUCACGUAGAUCCAAACAAAUGGCUAGAAUUAACAAACAAGAUAGUAAUUUAGUAAUUACCUGCUUUCCCUACCCUGAACACUGUCUUUCGGAAGGAAUGAAGUGACAAAAAAAAAAUCUAAAGUGAAUUUCUCAUCUGAAAGCAGCGGUUGUUUCAGAUUUUGGAGAGCUUGAAUCUUAUAUAAUAUGGAUGCUCCCUUGUUUAAAAAAAAAUCCACAUACUGAACACAAAGUUCCUCUGUG
rnacentral:lncRNA from 1 species